rnacentral:misc_RNA from 1 species
AACACUGUUAACCUGCGGUACCUGCGGAAGGAUCAUUACAGAGUUAUCCAACUCCCAAACCCAUGUGAACUUAUCUCUUUGUUGCCUCGGCGCAAGCUACCCGGGACCCCGCGCCCCGGGCGGCCCGCCGGCGGACAAACCAAAACUCUUGUUAUCUUAGUUGAUUCUCUGAGCGUCUUAUUUAAUAAGUCAAAACUUUCAACAACGGAUCU